rnacentral:rRNA from 1 species
GACGAACGCUGGCGGCGUGCUUAACACAUGCAAGUCGAACGGAAAGGCCCUGCUUUUGUGGGGUGCUCGAGUGGCGAGCGGGUGAGUAACACGUGAGUAACCUGCCCUUGACUUUGGGAUAACUUCAGGAAACUGGGGCUAAUACCGGAUAGGAGCUCCUGCUGCAUGGUGGGGGUUGGAAAGUUUCGGCGGUUGGGGAUGGACUCGCGGCUUAUCAGCUUGUUGGUGGGGUAGUGGCUUACCAAGGCUUUGACGGGUAGCCGGCCUGAGAGGGUGACCGGCCACAUUGGGACUGAGAUACGGCCCAGACUCCUACGGGAGGCAGCAGUGGGGAAUAUUGCACAAUGGGCGGAAGCCUGAUGCAACAACGCCGCGUGCGGGAUGACGGCCUUCGGGUUGUAAACCGCUUUCGCCUGUGACGAAGCGUGAGUGACGGUAAUGGGUAAAGAAGCACCGGCUAACUACGUG